rnacentral:lncRNA from 1 species
CACAUUGAGAUUGUUGUUUUGAGAAUUUAUGUGCUACAUGCACCCAUGUUUAGACUAUUUUUGAUGAAGUAUAGAAAGAUUUGACCUUUUGGUCACAACAGAGUUAAAAUCCACUUUAUGAAACGAGUUACGGAUUUUAUCAUUUAUUUAACUUAAGAAAUAUGAGAUUACCCUUAAAGUGGAUUUUUCUUGAGAUUUUUGAGCAUAGUAUUGGGAGUAGUAUUUAGCACCGAGUUGGGUAUGUUACUA